UUUUGGGGGAAGCUGGGGAGUCCACCUGAUCGAAGAUUUGGAAGGAGAAGGCCGAUGAUAGUCCAGCUCACUUCCAGUACAAAACACUUACCUCGGAAGAACUACUCCUUGGAAAACAUGAUGCUCGAUCAUCAUCAUACAAUGUUGAGGAGUGUUCAAUCUAGAGGAAAUGAUUGAGUCUUUGGAAUCAAACCUCUAGAGCACGAUCAAUGGAGUUGAUAAGACCUACCCCAAGGGUCUCUAUGUCUGAAUUCCUUGUCUGUUCCAGUUCCAGAGCAGUAAAGACGCACACAUUGAUCAAUAUUUCAGAAAUAAAAGGAGAGGUACGCAAAAAGCCUUACACUUGAACUGAUCUUUUGGUUGAAAUCAGGUUUUAGCUUGG